GCGAAUCGCCCUUCGGGGUGCAGCAGGCGCGAAAACUUUACAAUGCGGGAAACCGUGAUAAGGGGACACCGAGUGCCAGCAUCAUAUGCUGGCUGUCCAGGUGUGUAAAAUACACCUGUUAGCAAGGGCCGGGCAAGACCGGUGCCAGCCGCCGCGGUAACACCGGCGGCCCGAGUGGUGAUCGUGAUUAUUGGGUCUAAAGGGUCCGUAGCCGGUUUGGUCAGUCCUCCGGGAAAUCUGAUAGCUCAACUAUUAGGCUUUCGGGGGAUACUGCCAGGCUUGGAACCGGGAGAGGUAAGAGGUACUACAGGGGUAGGAGUGAAAUCUUGUAAUCCCUGUGGGACCACCUGUGGCGAAGGCGUCUUACCAGAACGGGUUCGACGGUGAGGGACGAAAGCUGGGGGCACGAACCGGAUUAGAUACCCGGGUAGUCCCAGCCGUAAACGAUGCUCGCUAGGUGUCAGGCAUGGCGCGACCGUGUCUGGUGCCGCAGGGAAGCCGUGAAGCGAGCCACCUGGGAAGUACGGCCGCAAGGCUGAAACUUAAAGGAAUUGGCGGGGGAGCAC
rnacentral:rRNA from 1 species